AUGGCUAUCAUUCAUGGCAAUACUAUGGCCACGGGUCAGUAUACGAAAGGCUCAAAUGACCCCCUUGGCACCGAGUUGAAUGAAAUUUCAGAUAAUGACGCUUCCCCACUUGAAGAAGGUAGCAAGUCAAGCAAUGGAGGCGAUUCAGUGGCUCCCAAUCCCAAAAGGGCCAAAACAAAGUCUAGUGUUGAUGAGGGGCUGCAAUCAACCCUUAUGGCAGUGGGUGAAAGGCUUGCUAUUGCCAUAGAGAGGAGUGUUAGCACCGACAACAGCUCCACGAGCAUCUCUACGAACAAGUCUACGAAUAACUCCAUGGUGGGCCUUUGGGAGGGCAUGCAAGAUAUUCCCUUUUUUGGUAUUGAUUACCUUGCCCAUUAUUUUGCUUACUUGGUUGAGAAUCCGAACAUUGCAAUGGCGUUUCAACUCUUGGAGAAGGACCAAAAGAGUAUUUGGGUUGAUAGGUGUGUCAAGAACACCUUCCCUCCAAUGGAUGAUUGA
rnacentral:rRNA from 1 species